rnacentral:rRNA from 1 species
UGGGGGGAACCCUGAUCCAGCCAUGCCGCGUGUGUGAAGAAGGCCUUUUGGUUGUAAAGCACUUUAAGCGAGGAGGAGGCUACUGGUAUUAAUACUACCGGAUAGUGGACGUUACUCGCAGAAUAAGCACCGGCUAACUCUGUGCCAGCAGCCGCGGUAAUACAGAGGGUGCGAGCGUUAAUCGGAUUUACUGGGCGUAAAGCGUGCGUAGGCGGCUUUUUAAGUCGGAUGUGAAAUCCCUGAGCUUAACUUAGGAAUUGCAUUCGAUACUGGGAGGCUAGAGUAUGGGAGAGGAUGGUAGAAUUCCAGGUGUAGCGGUGAAAUGCGUAGAGAUCUGGAGGAAUACCGAUGGCGAAGGCAGCCAUCUGGCCUAAUACUGACGCUGAGGUACGAAAGCAUGGGGAGCAAACAGGAUUAGAUACCCUGGUAGUCCAUGCCGUAAACGAUGUCUACUAGCCGUUGGGGCCUUUGAGGCUUUAGUGGCGCAGCUAACGCGAUAAGUAGACCGCCUGGGGAGUACG